UCCUCUUCCCAAAGCAGCACAAUCUGACAAACACUUUACAACUUUUUCCUCUUUCAAGAGUCCACAGAAGCUAGCCCUAUGCUGAGAAAGCUUUUGGAAACUCUCUCAUACGCAUUACACAACACACCAAACAAGGAAUUAAUAACCAACCAAACUUACAAACCACAUCUCUCUCUCUAGAUGGACUUCAAUCUGAAGUAAUGGAGAGUCCGCAGAAAAGCAGCGACCUCGUCGGAGAGAGAUGCACGUGCACGAGAAGACGAUUCGAAGGUGAAGAGUCUAGCGACCUCGUCGCCGCCGCGAUGGCCGACGUACUACGUGCAGAGUCCGUCGCGGGACUCGCACGGCGAGAAGACGGCGACGACGAUGUUCUUCCACUCAACGCCGGUGCUGAGCCCAGUGGGAUCGUCGCCGCACUCUCACUACUACUCCACCGUCGGCCGCCACUCCCGUGAAUCCUCCUCCAGCCGAUUCUCCGUCGGAUCUCCCCCGCCGACGACGCCGAAAAAUAAUUUUAAAAACUCGUCCGGUUCA
rnacentral:lncRNA from 1 species